rnacentral:rRNA from 1 species
AGGCCUUCGGGUUGUAAACCUCUUUUCUUGGGGAAGAAUUUUGACGGUACCCAAGGAAUAAGCCUCGGCCAACUACGUGCCAGCAGCCGCGGUAAUACGUAGGAGGCGAACGUUAUUCGGAUUUACUGGGCGUAAAGGGAGCGUAGGCGGUUCCUUAAGUCAGAUGUGAAAUCUUCUGACUCAAUCGGAAGGGGUCAUUUGAUACUGAGGGACUUGAGAGCAGCAGAGGGAAAUGGAAUCCCCGGUGUAGCGGUGAAAUGCGUAGAUAUUGGGGAGAACACCAGUGGCGAAGGCGAUUUCCCAGGUUGUUUCUGACGCUGAGGCUCGAAAGCGUGGGGAGCGAAGCGGAUUAGAUACCCGCGUAGUCCACGCCCUAAACGGUGGACACUAGAUAUGGGAGGUAUCGACCCUUUCUGUGUCGAAGCUAACGCUUUAAG